UAGGGAAUUUUGCGCAAUGGACGAAAGUCUGACGCAGCGACGCCGCGUGGGUGAUGAAGGCUUCGGGUUGUAAAGCCCUGUGGGGAGGGACGAAUUAGUGGAAGCUAAUACCUUCCAUGAUGACGGUACCUCCUUAGCAAGCACCGGCUAACUCUGUG
rnacentral:rRNA from 1 species